ACAUGGCUUCGACAGUGAGCAGAUAGGUUUUGGGGCGACACGUCAGGCGAUCGACGUAAAUGAAGCAAGCAUGUAAAUGCAAACGAUGAAAACUACGCUUUAGCGGCCUAAAAAACCGUAAGCCGGGGCUGUUGAGCCUUGUCAUACAACACAACUAGAUGGGCCCCGGGUGAUAAUGAUCCCGGGGCUCA
rnacentral:tmRNA from 1 species